rnacentral:rRNA from 1 species
CGGGGUGCAGCAGGCGCGAAAACUUUACAAUGCGGGAAACCGUGAUAAGGGGACACCGAGUGCCAGCAUCAUAUGCUGGCUGUCCAGGUGUGUAAAAUACACCUGUCAGCAAGGGCCGGGCAAGACCGGUGCCAGCCGCCGCGGUAACACCGGCGGCCCGAGUGGUGAUCGUGAUUAUUGGGUCUAAAGGGUCCGUAGCCGGUUUGGUCAGUCCUCCGGGAAAUCUGACGGCUCAACCGUUAGGCUUUCGGGGGAUACUGCCAGGCUUGGAACCGGGAGAGGUAAGAGGUACUACAGGGGUAGGAGUGAAAUCUUGUAAUCCCUGUGAGACCACCUGUGGCGAAGGCGUCUUACCAGAACGGGUUCGACGGUGAGGGACGAAAGCUGGGGGCACGAACCGGAUUAGAUACCCGGGUAGUCCCAGCCGUAAACGAUGCUCGCUAGGUGUCAGGCAUGGCGCGACCGUGUCUGGUGCCGCAGGGAAGCCGUGAAGCGAGCCACCUGGGAAGUACGGCCGCAAGGCUGAAACUUAAAGGAAUUGG